GAAGGUGUGGCUCAGUGGCAGAGCGCUUGCCUUGUAUGCAUGAGGCCCUGGGUUCGAUUCCUCAGCAUCA
rnacentral:tRNA from 1 species